UGAUAAUGCCAUAGCUCACUACGGUGCUUGCUCCCACAGUGUCAAGUGAGCGAGUACUUUAUAAACAGCAGCAUUAGAGCUGUAGCUGUAAGCACUGGUGGAAUUGAGAAGUCCUUCAGGGUAGGCUAAGUGUCACGAGAACAACGUCCACGAAUCUGAGUGUCUGCCUGCUGAUGCUUUUCCUCCUUUGCUAUCCAUGCCAGAAGUGCAGGACCUGGGAAAAACCUCGAGCAAAAUACAGGCGAGUCUUAGAAACGGAGCUUAGAAGGCACAACACGGGCGAGGAAGAGCACGAUACGUCCUACUUGUGACAAAAUGAGGCAGCACGGAAGAGGGCCUGGCUGUUUGCAUGGAAUUCCCUUGCACAUUGCAGGCUGCGGCAGUGUGGGGGGCAUAGGAGCUUUGCUUUGGAGCAACAAUGGUUGCAGGAGGAAGAGCAUCUGGAGGACAGAGCAGAGCUAAGGAAUUAGAAAGGAUUUGGAAUGUGCCCCAUGACAAUGGCAAUAAAGAUCUUCAUUUCUCUA